rnacentral:misc_RNA from 1 species
CGCACAUUGCGCCCAUUAGUAUUCUAGUGGGCAUGCCUGUUCGAGCGUCAUUAAUACCAUUAAGCCCUGUCGCUUAGCGUUGGGAGCCCGCUGGCCCUAGGCUUGCAGCUCCUCAAAAUUAGUGGCGGAGUUAGUGCAUACUCUAGGCGUAGUAAUUACCACUCGCUUCUGUAGUUGUGCUGGCGCCUGCCGUAAAACAGCCCAAUUUUUAAAGGUUUGACCUCGGAUCAGGUAGGAAUACCCGCUGAACUUAA